rnacentral:misc_RNA from 1 species
GAUGAAGAACGCAGCGAAAUGCGAUAAGUAAUGUGAAUUGCAGAAUUCAGUGAAUCAUCGAAUCUUUGAACGCACCUUGCGCCCCUUGGUUAUUCCAAAGGGCAUGCCUGUUUGAGUAUCAUGAAUACCUCAACUCUUGUGGUUUCCCACAAUGAGCUUGGACUGUGGAGGUUUUGUUGGCCCUGUGGUCAGCUCCUCUCAAAUGGAUCAGCUUACCGGUGUUUGGUGGCAUUACGGGUGUGAUAACUAUCUACGCUCGUGGUCGUCUCCAAAUAACCUCCAGUGAUGGAGGUUCGCUGGAGCUUAUAAAUGUCUCUCCCCAGUGAAGACAGCCUUUGAACGUUCGAUCUCAAAUCAGGUAGGACUACCCGCUGAACUUAAGCAUAUCAAUAAGCGGAGGA